AUGGAAAGACUUGUUUUCUUUUCAUACAUCCUGUCAGAAAAGGAAAAGAUUUUCACCUAAUUUUAUGAGGCUGCAGUACAUUAGUACUUCUUCUUUACAAUAAUAAAUCAAAAUGUUUUGUAUUUUCUAAAACUACAGUAUCUGUUGUGUGGUUCUUGUUUUUUUUGUUUGCUUUUAGCUGAUAUAAUAGUAGUACAAACUCAGCUUCUUUCUGCUGAUAUUAUUUUUGGCGGUGCUGUUUAGUCUUUCCUCAGAUAUCUAAUGUUUCUUUGUUAAAAAGUAGGUAGCUGAUAUCACAGAAUUUUGUGGGGUUGAUGAUUUGAACUAUUUGUGUAGUAAAAAUGAGUUCUUGAUUCAGCAUGGCUAUAUUGGAAUCAUACAGUAGUUUACGAGCUCGAUUCGAAAUUUAAUAUUUGUACAUAUUUAGUAAAAUUUUCCGCACCUGGUUGGAAGUAAAAGGAUGUGGUAGGAGUCUGAGAAUUUCACAGUUUCUUGAUUUUUGUGGCUGUGGAUUGAGCUACAUGCAAUUAUACGUGGAUAAAAAAUGGAGGGUUCAUCUCAGUCUGGUAGGGAGAGGUCUGAAAAUUCAAGGGGUUUGAAUAUUUCAAGUGUUGUGGAUAGGAAUUCAAGAUUUUGUUAUGAUUCUGGAUUUUCUGAUGUGAAUUGUCUUAAAGAUCAACAGGGCAGGAAAACAAUAGGUGGUAGUAGUAGUAGUAAAGAUGUUAGUUUGAGACAUUGGUUGGAUGAUCCAGAGAGAAGUGUUGAUGUUCUUGAAUGUUUGCACAUAUUUACUCAAAUUGUGGAGAUUGUAAACUUGGCACAUACUCAGGGGAUAGUUGUUCAUAAUGUGAGACCAUCAUGUUUUGUCAUGUCAUCUUUCAACCGUGUUGCUUUUAUUGAAUCUGCAUCCUGCUCCGAUUCGGGUUCCGAUUCGUGUGAAGAUGGGCUAAAUAGUUCAUCUUCACCUUUGCCUAUUGAAUCUGGCAUAGUAUCUGAUAGCAGUUGUUUGCAGUCAAGUUCAGGUCAUAUGGUGCAGACUUUGGAAGCUAAUAAGAAUAGACAUAUUGAAGAAAAGAAGCAUACUUUUCCAAUGAAACAGAUAUUGCACUUGGAAACUAAUUGGUACAAUAGUCCAGAAGAGGUUGAUGGAUCUCCAAGCACUUGUGCUUCAGACAUUUAUCGACUCGGAGUCCUUCUCUUUGAGCUAUUUUGUACCUUCAACUCAUCAGAUGAGAAAAUUGCAACUAUGUCAUGUUUAAGACAUCGUGUCCUACCCCCACAAUUGUUGUUGAAAUGGCCUAAAGAAGCUUCAUUUUGCUUAUGGUUAUUACAUCCGGAACCAAGUAGUCGGCCAAAAAUGGGCGAGUUGCUAGAAAGUGAAUUCCUCAGAACUCCAAGACAUGACUUAGAAGAACGUGAAGCAGCAAUAGAGCUUAGAGAAAAAAUAGAUGAGCAGGAAUUAUUGCUGGAGUUCCUUUUGCUAAUCCAACAGCGAAAGCAGGAGGCUGUGGAAAAUUUGCAAGAAAUUGUUUCUUUUGUAUCGUCUGAUAUAGAAGAGGCGUCUAAGAUGCAGACAACCCUUAAGAUAAAAGGAGGCUCAAGCUUAGAACCAGCUAAGCGCUUAAAUCCGCGGAGGACAGAUAUUACUGAAGAUGAUGAUUCCGGGAGCUCUGGAUCUAGAAAGAGAUUUAGGCUUGGCACAGGUGAGAAAUCCGAUGGUCAUCAAGAUGAAAGCCAGAAACCCGAAAGGCAAAUUGAAUAUAAAGGCAGCAUUUUAGCAAAAAGUUCCCGUUUGAUGAAGAACUUCAGAAAAUUGGAGACAGCUUAUUUCAUGACAAGACGCAGGAUUGCUAAAACAAUGGACAAAUCUACGAGUAGACGUUGUCAAACAAGUACGGAAUGUAGAAGUUCCGGUACAGCUACUGAAAGGAGUUCUCUGAGUAAUUUGUCAUCAAAAAGAUGGUACAAGGAGGAUGGACAGAGUGGAUUUAUCAAUUCGUACUUAGAGGGUCUGUGCAAGUAUUUUUCUUUUAGCAAGUUAGAAGUGAAGGCAGAUUUAAGGCAAGGGGAUCUUCUAAACUCUUCCAAUCUUGUAUGUUCUCUCGGUUUUGAUCGCGACGGUGAAUUUUUUGCAACUGCCGGUGUAAAUAAGAAGAUCAAAGUUUUUGAGUAUAACUCAAUUCUAAAUGUGGAUCGUGAUAUACACUAUCCAGUCGCUGAAAUGGCUAAUAGAUCAAAGUUAAGCAGUAUAUGUUGGAAUGGCUAUAUCAAGAGCCAGCUCGCCUCAAGUAACUUUGAAGGUGUGGUGCAGGUAUGGGAUGUCACAAGAAGUCAGCUUUUCAUGGAGAUGAGAGAGCACGAGAAACGCAUUUGGUCUGUAGACUUUUCCGUAGCAGAUCCAACCAUGUUGGCGAGUGGGAGCGAUGAUGGUUCUGUUAAGCUUUGGAAUAUCAAUCAGGCAAUUCUACUUUUGCACUUGGUGGAUGUCAGCUUUAAAACUAAAUGGAGUAAGUGUUGGAACCAUAAAAACAAAAGCUAACGUCUGCUGUGUUCAGUUCCCCGUUGAUUCUGGACGGGCCCUUGCUUUUGGUUCAGCAGAUCAUAAGAUAUAUUACUAUGAUCUGCGAAACUCAAAAUUGCCGCUAUGCACCUUAGUUGGGCACAACAAGACAGUGAGCUAUGUCAAGUUCAUAGAUUCAACAACUCUUGUGUCUGCAUCUACGGAUAAUACGAUAAAGCUGUGGGAUCUGUCAUCGUGCACGUCUCAUGUUCUUGAUUCUCCUCUUCAGUCUUAUACUGGUCAUAUGAAUGUAAAGAACUUCGUUGGCCUAUCUGUAGCUGAUGGUUACAUAGCAACUGGUUCAGAGACAAAUGAGGUUGUCAUCUACCACAAAGCUUUUCCUAUGCCAGCAUUAUCAUUUAAAUUUAAUAGCACAGAUCCGCUUUCUGGUGAUGAAGUGGACGACAGUGCACAGUUCAUCUCAUCCGUGUGUUGGCGUGGUCAGUCCUCUACCUUAGUUGCUGCAAAUUCUAUGGGAAAUAUCAAGCUCUUGGAGAUGGUCUAAUGUGGUUCAAGUCCCCAAAAUCUUGACCGUUGCUUUAAGAAGAGGAAAUGUGUGAACGAGAAGAGUUCGGCACAGGUAAAAUGAGGGGGUUACACCAAGAUACUGUUGUAGCUGAUAUAAGCUAGAUACAAUACUAUGGUAACAAGGAAGUUGCCAUCAAGAAACAAAUAAUUUUGCAAUUAGUUCAUGGUGGAAGCAACUCUCUGGAAAUAUGAGAUUUUGUCUCAUAGUGGAAAGUGUUGUAAAUAAAUAUUGGUUUUGGAGAGGAGUGAAGAGUUGCAAGUGUUAGUUCUGUUUGUAUAUUCUAUAAUUUUGAAGUUCUUAAGAAAUUCUCUGCAAUGUUAGAUGUUGGCCUGAUGACGUCUAAGCGCAUUCAUUUUCCAGCAUAUUCUGUUUAAGAUGUUUAUGCUGUUCAUGACCAGCCAAUUGGUUUGACAUAAAGCAUGCACAAAUUAUAACUUCUAAGUUAUUUGGAGCACAUCUUUCCAAUGGGACAUUGUUGGCUAGUGAGAUUUGAUAAUUCUAUUC